GAAUUGCCCUGUCCUCCCUGCAGGCCCCUCGGCCUCUGCCCAGCCCUUUGAUGUCAGGUGUCUAGGGCUCUCUCUGCCCAACACUCCACACUUUCUCCUGGAUAACCUCGGCUGCCUGAGACUCCAGCUGCAGGACCCCCAGUCUCAGGCCCCUCUCCUGGGCCACAGACCCCAGAUCACCAGUCCCUACCCAGGCUCCUCCCUGUAGGUGCUCCACAGGCACUCAGACUCAGUAUGGACAAGGCUGAGCUCACCAUCCUCUACCCAAUGUCACCCAGGGCAGAAACUCGGCCAGCAUCCCUGACACCUCCCACUCACACCUGGAAAAACCCUCAGGGCCUGUAGCGUGCCCCUCAUAAAUAUUUCUCAACCUCCACUCCAGAAGGUUUUCCCCCCACUCCCACCUCCAAAGCCCAGGUCCCAGCUCAGUCCUCUUACCUGUCACCUGGCCACUACACCCACCUCCUCCCUAAUGUCCUUGACCCCAUCAAUCCAGCCUCCACACAUCAGCCAGAAGGAACCUUCUUGCCCCAGGUCCACCGCAUCUGACCUUGCCCUGCCCCAGUGCCCACCGCACCCCAGGCACCUGUGUAGCCAUCUGAACAGUGGCACUGGAAGCCAUUGGGCAGGUCCUGGCAGAGGCCUCCACUGAGGCAUGGCCGUGAGGCACACUCGUCCACGUCCACACUGCAGUCGUCCCCUGCAAGAAGCCCAGCUGUGGUUCCCACAGCUCCCUCAGAGCCAGACUGGAACUGGAAAGGGCCCAUCUUAUAGCUAGGGAGACUGAGGCCAGAGAGAGGUGCUUGAACCCAGCUUCGGCAUCCCUCCCGCGCAUCUGGACACUACAGACCUGCUUCCCUGGAAGGGGGCUCACCCUCAAAGCCCAGAGGGCAGCGGCACAGGAAGCCAGCAGCAUGGCGGAAGCUGAAGGCUCCUGGGAAGGCGGCCUGGAUGCCCCCGUAGAGGGUUGGGUCGGAGCGCUGCAGGCACUGGCCCCCGUGCUGACAGGGGCCCACCGCACAUUCAUCCUCAUCCACCUCGCACCGCUCGCCGCUGUAGCCUGGGGACACACACAGGUGGGCGCCAGGUCACAGGCGGUCACCAAGCUGCAGCCCUCCACUGCUGCCAGGCCAACCCAGCUCAGAUAUGGUCACGGAUAUUCCGAGGGAGGGACACACGGACGGGGUAGGAAUGACCAGUGCAGGCUUCACCAGCAUCAGCAUCGUGUUACUAUUAUUACUAGCAUUACUGAGCACUCUGCACGUGCGGGGCCCUGUACCAAGGCUUGAUGGGCGCUACACCUUUUUACUCUCCUCAGAACAGCCCAGGAGCAGGUGCUGUGAUUAGCCCUGUUUAGCAGAUCUGGAAACUGAGGCUCAGAGAAGUUGCAGUCACAGGCACACACUGGGCUUAGUCCACUCAGGGUGUGUGCGCACGGCCAGGUUGUCCUCCUCAGCCUGAGACCCCGCCCCUCUGGGCGUGCGGGCGCGCACGCGCACACGCUCUCGCGCACGCGCACACACACCUGGCCAGCAGAGGCAGCGGAAGCUCCCGAGGCCCUCGAGGCAGGACGCGUUGUUCGCGCAGGGCGCCGACGCGCACUCCAGCACCUCCUGCUCGCAGCGCGCGCCCUCGUAGCCCGUGUCCGCGCAGUCGCACCGGAACCUGCAGGGGGGCGCGCGACCGGAGCUGAGCACGCGCCCGAACCUCCAGCUCCCUCUAUCUCCAUCGCGCCCCCCACCCCGCCGCCCACCGCGCAGCCUCACCGCUUGAGAGCACCCGGCCGCCCGCUCACCCGUUGACCAGGUCGUGGCAUACGCCCCCGUGCACGCACGGCUGGCUCUGGCACUCGUCCAGGUCCAGCUGGCAGCUGGCGCCCCCGAAGCCCGGCGCGCACACGCAGCGGUAGGAGCCCAAGCCGUCCAAGCACGAGCCCCCGUGCAGGCAGGGUGCCGAGGCACACUCGUCCACCUCCGCCUCGCAGGUCACGCCUGGACAGGGACCGAGACAGACAGAGAGAUGGCCGCCCAGAGGGAGCGCGAAUGAGGCCGAGCCAGGCUGACCCGAAACCUACUCCAGACUGACCAGAAGCGGACCGUCAGGAUCCAAAGAGAGAAUCCGUUGUUCCAUUCAUCCAGAGCAGGCUGCCUGGGACGACCUGGCGGGGGAAGGAUUAACGGACACCCGCCCCUCCCCUUGGACCUGCUGCCCUGCCCUGGGAAGGCCCAGAACCCACCUCCGGGAAGAGAAUUUUCUUCAUGGAAAGGACAGGAUUAUAAUAACAGGAACCAUUUCAAAACGAUCCCAAUGCCCGGACUGAAAUAUCAGAGCGAGCCAUUGUAGGCUAGCGGUGAAGUGCACAGACACUGGUUCAAAUCCUGGCUUCUCCACUUCCCAGCU